rnacentral:lncRNA from 1 species
AAAGAAUGAAGUGUGAAAACAUUAGAUAAUGUUCGGAAACUGGGAAUUAGUACUAUUCAUGAGAAGAGAAGAUGCAACAACAACAGACUAACCAAACUGGUAUUUUGAACAAUAUUUCAAUUCAGUAAAGAUGCAGAAACAAUAGACAAACCAAACUGUAAAUAAACCAUGACUACAACCAUGCUCACGCUAAAAAUGUGCUCAUCAAACACUAGUAAUUAUGCCAAAAUAAUACCAUGACUAAAUAGAAGAUCCUGAGCAGCCCCCUACUCUCAAGUUGUACAAAGUGUCAAUGUCCAUAUUGAGAGAUGCCACCUGAUAAAUAGUGUCCAGCAUAACUGCAUAGGCAGUGCAACCACAUAAGCAGAUGUGAAGGCUUUCAAUAUUGCUCCAAUAUCAACCUACGUCAGCUACAACAUAUUAUUAACUUUGAGUUAAACGACAUACUAUAUAUAUGGCAAUACUAACUACACAAUAAAGAGGCAUGCUAUGUCUUAUAGACCUGAAUCCAAUGGAGUAUUAUAUACAGUGAAUCAUCAACAUCCGCAUUGUAAAAAGAAUAUAUGGAAAAAAACAUGUACAAGCUAGUGAAGCACAGUAAGAGGAGACAUUUAAUAAGCAACAAUAGGAAGCCCCCCGGGUUUGUUGAUGUUGAUAAUAAUCUAUAAACUGGAAAUAAGAAAAACUCAUCAUCAUGAACUGGAAAUAAGAAAAACUCGUCAUCAUGAACUAGAAAUAGGAAAAACUCGUCAUCAUGAACCUGAACUGAACUAUUUGCCUACCAAAAUGUAUGGAUGGACUGUGAUUUAUGUAAUCGGGUUUCUUCAAUAGGAAAAGGGCAUGACAAACACUUUUGAACUGAAACUGAAAGAAGAUUAUGUAAAAGAAAAACCAGGCUUAACAAUAGCCAAUUUUGUUAGAAGAAGUUGAUGGAACGGAGGAGUGCUCAUUGCUGUGUAAAUAAUCAAUCUUAGACCCAAUGUUUCAGUCAAUAGAUGCAAAAGUAGUAAAUAGGAGUUCAUUUCAUUUACCACAAAUAACUGGUUGAUCUUCUAGCGACUGUUUUGCUCACCAGAUCAAAUUUUCUAGAAGAUGAGGUAAUCAAUAGCUUGAUCCCCAAAUUCAUGCAUGAACAAGAAUUCUAGAAUUCAGUAGUAAAAAACACAAACAGAACACGAGGCAAGCGCUCCAUAGGGGCUGGAGACGGCAACCUGAGUCACGGCUUAUGCUUCCCAUCCAGCGUGGUCGUUGGAGACAAAGAUGAAGUGGAGGGGGUGGAGAGUGAACUACUAUGCAAGGAGGAGAGAAAAGAAUCUAUGGCCACGACAAGGAGGAUAGAAGGCGAUGGCGAGUUGGCGACAGG